rnacentral:rRNA from 1 species
UACGUAGGGGGCAAGCGUUAUCCGGAUUUACUGGGUGUAAAGGGAGCGUAGGCGGCGGAGCAAGUCAGAAGUGAAAGCCCGGGGCUCAACCCCGGGACGGCUUUUGAAACUGCCCUGCUUGAUUUCAGGAGAGGUAAGCGGAAUUCCUAGUGUAGCGGUGAAAUGCGUAGAUAUUAGGAGGAACACCAGUGGCGAAGGCGGCUUACUGGACUGGCAAUGACGCUGAGGCUCGAAAGCGUGGGGAGCAAACAGG